AUGUUACAAAAUUAUGAGAUGACUUAUGGUUAGCGGUAACAUGCCAAACGAACCUAGUAAUAGCUGGUUCUCCCCGAAAUAGCUUUUGGGCUAGCGUCGUAAUUUAAUUGUUGGGGGUAGAGCACUGAUUGGGUCUGGGGCCCGAAAGGGUACCCAAUCCAGUCAAACUCCAAAUACCAACGAGAAUAUUACGGCAGUUAGAACUAGGGAGCUAAGUUCCUAUGUUCAAGAGGGAAACAGCCCAGAUUGUCAGAUAAGGACCCUAAAUUACAUCUUAGUGGGAAAGGAAGUGGAGUUUCUCAGACAGUUAGGAGGUUGGCUCAGAGGCAGCCAUCCUUUAAAAAGUGCGUAAAAGCUUACUAAUCAAGAGAUUCUGCGCUUAAGAUUUAACGGGGCUGAAGAUGUAUUCCGAAGCUGCAAAUUUAUCUAUCAUUUUAUGAUUCUUAAGUGGUAGGGGAGCGUUCUAUACAUGAUCAACUUAGCAGUUGAUACAUCGUAGUAAAGGUAGCCCGUGAGGAGCUGCUGGAACGUAUAGAAGUGAGAAUGCCGGGAUGAGUAACGUAAAGCAGGUGAAAACCCUGCUCGCUGAAUGUCUAAGGUUUCCAUGGCUAUGGCAGUCAUCCAUGGGUUAGUCGGUCCUAAGGAGAGGCUGAAGAGCGUAUCCGACGGACAACAGGUUAAUAUUCCUGUACUGCUAAUAUUUGUGAUGGAGAUUGAGAAUUGAGAAAGCAGGCCCCUAAUUGGUUUGGGGUGCAAGCAACAAGUUAGUCUUUUCAGGUAAAUCCGGAAAGAUGUUUUCACUUCGGUGGAUGCACACGAGUUGCGAUACAAAGGUGACCUCGCGGAAUCCGAUCUGUUGUAUUAAUUUUCCAGGAAAAACUUCUAACGUCUACUUCGGUAGACAAAAAUAUUAGUAACCGUACUGCAAUCCGACACUGGUGGACUGGUGUAAAUGCACCAAAGCGUACGAGUGAUGCGUUGUUAAGGAAUUCGGCAAAUUAACCCCGUAAGUUCGCAAGAAGGGGGACCUUCCGUCAUAAGAAUUUUCUAGUGGCGAUGAAGGUGGCACAGAAUAGGGAGGAGCGACUAGUUACCAAAACUACAGGUGCUUGCAAAUUCGUAAGAAAAUGUAUAAGUGCUGACGCCUGCCCAAUGCCAGAAGGUUAAGGAAGUUUGUCAACCGUCUGUUGGAUGCACUUCGGUGCUCCAAUGGUGGUGAAGCGGAUGACCGAAGCCCUGGUCAAUGGCGGCUGUAACUAUAACGGUCCUAAGGUAGCGUAAUACCUUGUCACUUAAUUAGUGACUUGCAUGAAAGGCGUAACGACUCUUCCACUGUCUCGACAACGCGCUCGGUGAAAUUGAAAUGGCUGUGAAGAUGCGGCCUACCCAUACCAGGACAAAAAGACCCCGUGGAGCUUUACUGCAGCUUUGCAUUGAGAUAAGGCCUUGGAUGAAGAGAAUAGGUGGGAGACUAUGAAGCCGUUUCGUCAGGAAUGGUGGAGUCGAAAUAUGUAAUACCACUCUUUCGAUGUUUUAUUUCUAACUUUUUCCUUAAUCAGGAAUACGGACAGUGCAUGGUAGGCAGUUUGACUGGGGCGGUUGCUUGCUAAAGAGUACCGCAAGCGCACAAAGGUCUCCUCAACCCGGAUGGAAAUCGGGUGAAGAGUGCAUGAGCAUAAGGAGGCUUUACUGUGAGGGAGACAUCCCGAGCAGUUACGAAAGUAGGUUCAAGUGACCCUUUCGCAGAAUGUGGAAUCGCGAUUGUUUAACGGAGAUAAGCUACCCCGGGGAUAACAGGCUGGUGGUGCCCGAUAGUUCAUAUUGACGGCACCGUUCGGCACCUCGAUGUCGGCUCGUCACAUCCUGGGGUUGGAGAAGACCCCAAGGGUUCGACUGUUCGUCGAUUAAAGUGGCACGUGAGCUGGGUUCAGACCGUCGUGAGCCAGGUCGGUCUCUAUCCGGUAUGGGCGUUGUAUAUUUGAGGAAUUUGACCCUUAGUACGAAAGGAUCAGGGUGCGAUAACCUCUGGUGUACCAGUUGUUCUACCAAGAGCAUUGCUGGGUAGCUAAGUUGUUUUAGGAUAAAUACUGAAAGCAUAUAAGUAUGAAACCUUUUCCAAGAUUAAAUAUACUUGCAUAGCUUGCUAUGCUGAAGGUUCGUGGGAGACUACCACGUUGAUAGGCUCUAGGUGUAAGUGUAGCAAUACAUUUAGCCGAGGAGUACUAAUAGACCAAAAGCUUC
rnacentral:rRNA from 1 species